GUACCCAAAGACGAGGUUCCUCCUCUAGCUCCAUGCCUCGGAGACGAUGAUGAUGCAAGAAGCUCAAAAGGGCUGUUAUCAGCUACAAUUGCCAAAGGGUUAGUCUCUUCCAUCAAUUCAUCUUCUCUAAUCCUCAACAAGUUGUUAAAGCUUGUUCUGUUAUUGUUAUUGUUAUUAUUGUUGUUGUUAUUGUUGUUGUUUUCUCUUUCAUUGCUGUUAUUGCCUGUGCUCGUCAUAGGACUUAUGUUGUUAUAGUCAAUACUUGAUCCUGCUAGAACCAAAGCACUGAAUUCUCUACUUAUACUUGUGAAAUUCUCACUAGAAGCAACUUCUGUAUUUGCUACAGACACAGAUGAUUGGUGACUAUGUGGUUGUCUUGUGUGUAGAGGAUGAGGUGGGGUUAAAGCAUGGAUUUCUCUUAUUUGUUCAUCUCCUUCAUCAUCAUGAUCAUCA
rnacentral:lncRNA from 1 species